UACGGAUGGGGCUAGCGUUGUUCGGAAUUACUGGGCGUAAAGCGCACGUAGGCGGCUUUGCAAGUUAGAGGUGAAAGCCCGGGGCUCAACCCCGGAAUUGCCUUUAAAACUGCAUCGCUAGAAUUGUGGAGAGGUAAGUGGAAUUCCGAGUGUAGAGGUGAAAUUCGUAGAUAUUCGGAAGAACACCAGUGGCGAAGGCGACUUACUGGACACAUAUUGACGCUGAGGUGCGAAAGCGUGGGGAGCAAACAGG
rnacentral:rRNA from 1 species